GCAGAACUUGGGCAAGCUGCACCCGCUUUGAUUGCAGAGGCAAGUCCUGAAGCACUUGUGCUUGCAGAUGCAGUUUUAAGUUGUGUUGCUUUUCCAAGUGAGGACUGGGAGAUUU